CCUCCAAGCCUGUCUUCAACAACCGCAAGAUGAGUGGAUCUCCGCAUUGCACGCCAGAAUCUUAUAGUUUACAUAGAGGUCUAGACGGGGUUCAGUCACGAAUGUAGUCCAGAUGGUCUCAAUAACACGUGCUCUCUCAAGGCUGCUCCUUGAAGAGGCUCCCCUGUGGGAAUGGUGGGAGGAGCUUACAUUCCCAGGACGCGGGAGGCAGGUAAGGAGCGUCCAGUAGCCAGGGUCCCAAGAUUGGUCGAUCCAGCUCACAGGUGAACCUGCUUUCAUGUCCUCUAGAUGACCUCCUGCAACAAGGUUUUAGGGCCAAACAGAUUAACUGGGACUGAAAUUGUAUGACUCCAGAGCUGCCUUCUGUGUUCUGCUUUGGAUAUUUUAAUAUUUCAACAAUCAGGAUGCAUCUUGAAGUGAAUAUCAUCAGGAACUUUACAGCUACCAGUAAGAAGACAAAAAUGAUUUUAGCCUAAUUCUUCUUAAUAAAUGGCAAUUUUUUGAAGUCUGAGACAGACAGGUGUGAACUAUUCAUGCUUCCAAAUAAUCACCAGAAUCUUGCAAGAAUAUGUAAUAAAAUUUGGAAAUACAGGGGAAGGGGAGGGCGAUACAGGUUUAACCGAAUUUAAAGAGCAAUACACACAAAUCC
rnacentral:lncRNA from 1 species